CGGAGGCAGCAGUAAGGAAUAUUGGUCAAUGGGCGCAAGCCUGAACCAGCCAUGCCGCGUGCAGGAUGACGGUCCUAUGGAUUGUAAACUGCUUUUGUACAGGAAGAAACACUCCCUCGUGAGGGAGCUUGACGGUACUGUAAGAAUAAGGAUCGGCUAACUCCGUGCCAGCAGCCGCGGUAAUACGGAGGAUCCAAGCGUUAUCCGGAAUCAUUGGGUUUAAAGGGUCCGUAGGCGGUUUUAUAAGUCAGUGGUGAAAUCUGGUCGCUCAACGAUCAAACGGCCAUUGAUACUGUAAGACUUGAAUUACUUGGAAGUAAGUAGAAUAUGUAGUGUAGCGGUGAAAUGCUUAGAGAUUACAUGGAAUACCAAUUGCGAAGGCAGGUUACUACAAGUAUAUUGACGCUGAUGGACGAAAGCGUGGGGAGCGAACAGGAUUAGAUACCCGAGU
rnacentral:rRNA from 1 species